rnacentral:lncRNA from 1 species
UCUCUCUCUCUAUGGUCUUCUCCAUGCCCUAGAACCAAGAAAGCUAGGAUUUCUUGGCUGCCACCCAAAAAGGAAAGAAAGGAGAAGCUAGAAACUAGCACCCCCUUUGUGCACGCCCCUAUUUUGAGCGCCCCCUCUUAGCUGCCUAAGAAGAGUUUCAGGUCCUACUUUUUUAUUUUUUGGAGGCUUCAUCAAGAGUUCUUGUAGGUCUCAAAAGGUGGAUUUUAGAUCUGAUGGAGAAGGGGUUCAAAUCAAAGAAGAAAAUCCUACUGAUAGGAUUUACAAGGCUGCUGAUACCACGAAGG